rnacentral:rRNA from 1 species
AAACCAACAGGGAUUACCUUAGUAACGGCGAGUGAAGCGGUAAGAGCUCAAAUUUGAAAUCUAGCACUUUCAGUGUUCGAGUUGUAAUUUGAAGAAGGUAUCUUUGGAGUUGGCCCCCGUCUAUGUUCCUUGGAACAGGACGUCACAGAGGGUGAGAAUCCCGUGCGAUGGGGAGACCAAUUCUAUGUAAAGUUCCUUCGAAGAGUCGAGUUGUUUGGGAAUGCAGCUCUAAGUGGGUGGUAAAUUCCAUCUAAAGCUAAAUAUUGGCGAGAGACCGAUAGCGAACAAGUACAGUGAUGGAAAGAUGAAAAGAACUUUGAAAAGAGAGUGAAAAAGUACGUGAAAUUGUUGAAAGGGAAGGGCUUUUGAUCAGACUUGGUAUUUAGUACUCUUCGCCCCUUGUGGGUGGGGCUCUUGCUUUAUGCUGGGCCAGCAUCGGUUUGGAUGGUAGGAUAAUGGCAUUGGAACGUGGCUCCACUUGUGGAGUGUUAUAGCCCUUGCUGAUACUACCUAUCUAGACCGAGGACUGCGUCUUUUGACUAGGAUGCUGGCGUAAUGAUUAAAAGCCGC